rnacentral:lncRNA from 7 species
UUUCUGCACGAUCUUCUAGGAAAGAAGGAGUAACAGAUGCUCAUUGUGACGUGAACGUAAUUUCAGUACCUGCAUAGGAGAAAUGACGACCGGAGCCACCCGAGCUUAAAGGGGAGCAUUGAGCUGAGAUGUCUGCUACAGUACUGCGCGUGCAGGGCUGGCUUCCAUGACAGGGUCAAGGCUGGAGGAGGACACCCCAGAGCUUCUGUCCCAUUCUGAGGAAGGAGCAGUGUAUGCAAACUGUGCCCAAACUGCUGAGAUGCAAUCCUAUGUCUCAUAUUGGGUUGGGACCCAAGUGCACAGCACUCCUCUGUCACUGUUGUUGUGCAGGGAAAGAAAAGCUGGUAUGAAAGGCCACCAGAACAUAUACCAUUGUGUGACCUGGGGCAUUUCCCCAUCACUUGGUCUCUGGAUCUGUGAUGGCUUGAAGGAUAACCUCAUCCACAAAAUAAUUUUCUCUCCUUCCCCAUUACCAUUUUUGACUUGGAAGGUUUUUAGGAGGUUUUUAACUUCUUUUUUGUCUUAAAAGCUGGUCUCCCUCAACACACGCAAAUGAUCAAUAAAACGACUUCCAGAAGAAAUUUGGUUUUGGCUGGAAAUAGCAUUCAAAAGCUUUCCCCUGUGGAGGAAGACAAAAAGAUUCCUACAGAAGGUUAUUCAUCUCUUUUGCCAGGAACUGUGGUUCUUUGCGCCUGUUUGAGUGACCCAGCAGUUGGCAAAGUGGCUUUCUGUACUCUCUGCUCAACCUAUGUCACCAUUUUCCAGUUAACAGUCAUCCAGCACUCCAAGAAAGUGUUGUCAGCUGGGUUAAAGCAAUGUCCGGAACUGAGAACAACUGUGUUGGUAAGGCAUUUCGAAAUCAUUGCCUGAUAUGGUGGUAGUCAGAAGCUUCAUGAUGAGCCCUGGAUGCAGACCUUCUUCUACUGCACGUUUCUUGUAGUAGCCAUGGCUGCUGUUCGGGUGAGAGUUACCAGGUCACCUCCUCCUGUGCCAAAAGCCAGAGUUUCAGCCUCAGCAAUGCAGUUAUUAAGCAGGUGGAUGUCUCGCUUCUUCCCUUUUGUAAUGUCUAUGCUAGAAUAUUUUAUUAAUGAAAUCACUGAUGUUUAUUACCUACUAAAUUAUCUCCCGCUCCAACAAUCUCUGAGGGUUAUUACCACAAAGACUUGCACAACACAUGUUAAAAGCCAUCAGU